CCCGGUAGUGGGGGAUAACGUGGGGAAACCCACGCUAAUACCGCAUACGUCCUACGGGAGAAAGCGGAGGAUCUUCGGACUUCGCGCUAUCGGAUGAGCCUAUGUCGGAUUAGCUAGUUGGUAAGGUAACGGCUUACCAAGGCGACGAUCCGUAGCUGGUCUGAGAGGAUGAUCAGCCACACUGGGACUGAGACACGGCCCAGACUCCUACGGGAGGCAGCAGUGGGGAAUAUUGGACAAUGGGCGAAAGCCUGAUCCAGCCAUGCCGCGUGUGUGAAGAAGGCUUUCGGGUUGUAAAGCACUUUCAGCGAGGAAGAAAGCCUCUGGGUUAAUACCCCAGAGGAAGGACAUCACUCGCAGAAGAAGCACCGGCUAACUCCGUGCCAGCAGCCGCGGUAAUACGGAGGGUGCGAGCGUUAAUCGGAAUUACUGGGCGUAAAGCGCGCGUAGGUGGCUUGGCACGCCGGUUGGGAAAGCCCCGGCGCUCAACCUGGGAACGGCAUCCGGAACGGCCCAGGCUAGAGUGCAGGAGAGGAAGGUAGAAUUCCCGGUGUAGCGGUGAAAUGCGUAGAGAUCGGGAGGAAUACCAGUGGCGAAGGCGGCCUUCUGGCCUGACACUGACACUGAGGUGCGAAAGCGUGGGUAGCAAACAGGAUUAGAUACCCUGGUAGUCCACGCCGUAAACGAUGUCGACUAGCCGUUGGGACCUUUAAGGACUUAGUGGCGCAGUUAACGCGAUAAGUCGACCGCCUGGGGAGUACGGCCGCAAGGUUAAAACUCAAAUGAAUUGACGGGGGCCCGCACAAGCGGUGGAGCAUGUGGUUUAAUUCGAUGCAACGCGAAGAACCUUACCUACCCUUGACAUCCAGAGAACUUUCCAGAGAUGGAUUGGUGCCUUCGGGAACUCUGAAACAAGUGCUGCAUGGCUGUCGUCAGCUCGUGUUGUGAAAUGUUGGGUUAAGUCCCGUAACGAGCGCAACCCUUGUCCUUAUUUGCCAGCGAUUCGGUCGGGAACUCUAAGGAGACUGCCGGUGACAAACCGGAGGAAGGUGGGGACGACGUCAAGUCAUCAUGGCCCUUACGGGUAGGGCUACAC
rnacentral:rRNA from 1 species